ensembl:misc_RNA Metazoa_SRP Metazoan signal recognition particle RNA
GCCGGGUGCGGUGGCGCGCGCCUGUAAUCCAAGCUCCCGGGAGGCUGAGGCUGGAGGAUCGUUUGAGCUCAGGACCUCUGAGCUGCAGCGGACUAUGUCGAUCGGGUGUCCGCACUAAGUUCGGUAUCGAUAUGGUGCUCCUGGGGGAGCCCGGGACCACCAGGUCGUCUAAGGAGGGGUGCACCGGCCCAGGUCGGAGACGGAGCAGGUCAAAGCCCCCGUGCCGCUCAGUAGUGGGAUCGCGCCUGUGAAUAGACGCUGUAGUGCAGCCUGAGUAACACAGCGGGACCCAGUCUUUA